rnacentral:rRNA from 1 species
AGUGAACGCUGGCGGUAGGCCUAACACAUGCAAGUCGAACGGCAGCACAGUAAGAGCUUGCUCUUACGGGUGGCGAGUGGCGGACGGGUGAGGAAUACAUCGGAAUCUACUUUUUCGUGGGGGAUAACGUAGGGAAACUUACGCUAAUACCGCAUACGACCUACGGGUGAAAGCAGGGGAUCUUCGGACCUUGCGCGAUUGAAUGAGCCGAUGUCGGAUUAGCUAGUUGGCGGGGUAAAGGCCCACCAAGGCGACGAUCCGUAGCUGAUCUGAGAGGAUGAUCAGCCACACUGGAACUGAGACACGGUCCAGACUCCUACGGGAGGCAGCAGUGGGGAAUAUUGGACAAUGGGCGCAAGCCUGAUCCAGCAAUACCGCGUGGGUGAAGAAGGCCUUCGGGUUGUAAAGCCCUUUUGUUGGGAAAGAAAAGCAGCAGGUUAAUACCCCGCUGUUCUGACGGUACCCAAAGAAUAAGCACCGGCUAACUUCGUG